rnacentral:rRNA from 1 species
UACGUAGGGUGCGAGCGUUAAUCGGAAUUACUGGGCGUAAAGCGUGCGCAGGCGGUUUUGUAAGCCAGAUGUGAAAUCCCCGGGCUUAACCUGGGAAUGGCAUUUGGGACUGCAAGGCUGGAGUUUGGCAGAGGAGACUGGAAUUCCUGGUGUAGCAGUGAAAUGCGUAGAUAUCAGGAGGAAUACCGAUGGCGAAGGCAGGUCUCUGGGCUAUAACUGACGCUCAUGCACGAAAGCGUGGGGAGCGAAACAAGGAU